UUUUGCAUAUCCAAAAAGCGGAGGAAAAGAAACCAACAGGGAUUGCCUCAGUAACGGCGAGUGAAGCGGCAACAGCUCAAAUUUGAAAUCUGGCCUCUUGGGGUCCGAGUUGUAAUUUGUAGAGGAUGUUUCGGGUACCGCCUCGGUUUAAAUUUCUUGGAACAGAAUGUCAAAGAGGGUGAGAAUCCCGUCUUGGACCGGCGGUAGGGCCUAUGUGAAACUCCUUCGACGAGUCGAGUUGUUUGGGAAUGCAGCUCAAAAUGGGUGGUAAAUUUCAUCUAAAGCUAAAUAUUGGCCAGAGACCGAUAGCGCACAAGUAGAGUGAUCGAAAGAUGAAAAGCACUUUGAAAAGAGAGUUAAACAGUAUGUGAAAUUGUUGAAAGGGAAGCGCUUGCAACCAGACUUGAGCGCGGCGGUUCCCCCUUGCUUCUGCUUGGGUUACUCCGCCGUGUCCAGGCCAACAUCGGUUCUGGGGGUCGGUCAAAGGCUCUGGGAAUGUAUCUACCCACGGGUAGACUUAUAGACCAGGGUGUCAUGCGACCUCCCGGGACCGAGGAACGCGCUUCGGCUCGGAUGUUGGCGUAAUGGUUGUCAGCGACCCGUCUUGAACAACCGGACCAAAA
rnacentral:rRNA from 1 species